UGUGUUGGUAUUGGUGUUGGUGUUGGUGGUGCUGGUGCUGGUGGUGGUGAAGAGGAGAAUGAUGAUGAUAAGGGUAUUUUGGUCCAAAAAUUCGAGAAAAGAUGAUUUUAAAGUGUUUUUGAACGUUGAGGAUGAUUUAAAUAA